AUAUCAAUAAGCGGAGGAAAAGAAACCAACAGGGAUUACCCUAGUAACGGCGAGUGAAGCGGUAACAGCUCAAAUUUGAAAUCUGACCUUCACGGGUUCCGAGUUGUAAUUUGUAGAGGAUGUUUCGGGCAAUGACUCAUGGUUUAAGUUUCUUGGAACAGAACGUCAUAGAGGGUGAAGAGUCCCGUCUAGAAGCCGCCUAGUCCGCGUCCAUGUGAAACUCCUUCGACGAGUCGAGUUGUUUGGGAAUGCAGCUCAAAAUGGGUGGUAAAUUUCAUCUAAAGCUAAAUAUUGGCCAGAGACCGAUAGCGCACAAGUAGAGUGAUCGAAAGAUGAAAAGCACUUUGAAAAGAGAGUUAAACAGUAU
rnacentral:rRNA from 1 species